AUUGAACGCUGGCGGCAGGCCUAACACAUGCAAGUCGAACGAGUGGCGGACGGGUGAGUAAUGUCUGGGAAACUGCCUGAUGGAGGGGGAUAACUACUGGAAACGGUAGCUAAUACCGCAUACCAUCGGAUGUGCCCAGAUGGGAUUAGCUAGUAGGUGGGGUAAAGGCUCACCUAGGCGACGAUCCCUAGCUGGUCUGAGAGGCGGACCGGCCAAACUGGAACUGAGAAACGGUCCAGAUUCCGACGGGAGGCAGCAGUGGGGAAUAUUGCACAAUGGGCGCAAGCCUGAUGCAGCCAUGCCGCGUGUAUGAAGAAGGCCUUCGGGUUGUAAAGUCCUUUCAGCGGGGAGGCGUUAACCACAGAGGAAGCACCGGCUAACUCCGUGCCAGCAGCCGCGGUAAUUC
rnacentral:rRNA from 1 species